rnacentral:rRNA from 1 species
AUAUCAGACUGUUGGUCGUGCCUUGGUACGUACUGGCAUUAUUGAUUUCUCCCUUCUGAAGAACCACGUUGUCAUUAAUUUGGUGUCUUGGGGAAUCAGGACUGUUACUUUGAAAAAAUUAGAGUGUUUAAAGCAGGCUCACGCUUGAAUACAUUAGCAUGGAAUAAUGAAAUAGGACGUUUGAUUCUAUUUUGUUGGUUUAUAGGAUUGACGUA